rnacentral:rRNA from 1 species
CACGUAGUUAGCCGGGGCUUCUUAGUCAGGUACCGUCAUUUUCUUCCCUGCUGAUAGGGCUUUACAUACCGAAGUACUUCCUCACCCACGCGGCGUCGCUGCAUCAGGGUUCCCCCCAUUGUGCAAUAUUCCCCACUGCUGCCUCCCGUAGGAGUCUGGGCCGUGUCUCAGUCCCAAUGUGGCCGUCCACCCUCUCAGGCCGGCUAUGGAUCGUCGGUUUGGUGGGCCGUUACCCCGCCAACUGCCUAAUCCAACGCGGACCCAUCCUAUGCCGCCUCAGCUUUUCACACUGUACCAUGCGGUACUGUGCGCUUAUGCGGUAUUAGCACCCGUUUCCGGAUGUUAUCCCCCUGCAUAGGGCAGGUUGUCCACGCGUUACUCACCCGUCCGCCGCUAAGCCACAUCCUCUUCCUCCCGAAGGAUUCCAAUGAUGUGCUCCGCUCGACUUGCAUGUGUUAAGCACGCCGCCAGCGUUCAUCCUGAGCCAGGAUCAAACUCU